rnacentral:rRNA from 1 species
UACGUAGGGGGCAAGCGUUGUCCGGAAUCAUUGGGCGUAAAGGAGCGUGUAGGCGGCCAGAUAAGUCCGCUGUGAAAUCUCGAAGGCUCAACCUUCGAGCUGUCGGUGGAAACUGUCUGGCUAGAGUCCGGAAGAGGAGAAUGGAAUUCCUGGUGUAGCGGUGAAAUGCGCAGAUAUCAGGAGAACACCCGUGGCGAAGGCGGUUCUCUGGGACGGUACUGACGCUGAGACGCGAAGCGUGGGGGAGCGAACAGG